UACGUAGGGGGCAAGCGUUGUCCGGAAUUAUUGGGCGUAAAGCGCGUGUAGGCGGUCCGGUAAGUCGGUUGUGAAAGUCCAGGGCUCAACCCUGGGAUGCCGACCGAUACUGUCGGACUAGAGUUCGGAAGAGGCGAGUGGAAUUCCCGGUGUAGCGGUGAAAUGCGCAGAUAUCGGGAGGAACACCAAUGGCGAAGGCAGCUCGCUGGGACAUUACUGACGCUGAGACGCGAAAGCGUGGGGAGCAAACAGG
rnacentral:rRNA from 1 species